GACCAUUUGGCCCCUCUCCUCCCAUUCAUCUUCCGGCCACGGCUCCUCCAGAAGGAGAAGAAGGAGAAGAAGGGAAGAGAAACGCGACGAGGAGCAGGCCGCCAAGAGGUCGAUGUGCUCUGGGGAGCUAUACUAACUCCAAGUAUCCCACCAAAGCAUCAUCAGCCUCUCUACCGCUGACGACUGGCCUCUGCGUCUAGCUGGACUGGUGAUUUUAGGGAUAGCCUUUGCGUCUGGCUGGGCUAGUGUUUUUAGGGAUGGCCUUUGCGUCUGGCUGGGCUAGUGUUUUUAGGGAUGGCCUUUGCGUCUGGCUGGGCUAGUGUCUUUAGGGAUGGCCUUUGCGUCUGGCUGGGCUAGUGAUUUUAGGGAUGGCCUUUGCGUCUGGCUGGGCUAGUGAUUUUAGGGAUGGCCUUUGCGUCUGGCUGGGCUAGUGUCUUUAGGGAUGGCCUUUGCGUCUGGCUGGGCUAGUGAUUUUAGGGAUGGCCUUUGCGUCUGGCUGGGCUAGUGUUUUUAGGGAUGGCCUUUGCGUCUGCUGGGCUAGUGAUUUUAGGGAUGGCCUUUGCGUCUGGCUGGGCUAGUGUUUUUAGGGAUGGCCUUUGCGUCUGCUGGGCUAGUGAUUUUAGGGAUGGCCUUUGCGUCUGGCUGGGCUAGUGUUUUUAGGGAUGGCCUUUGCGUCUGGCUGGGCUAGGGAUUUUAGGGAUGGCUUUUGCGUCUGGCUGGGCUAGUGAUUUUAGGGUUGGCCUUUGCGUCUGGCUGGGCUAGGGAUUUUAGGGAUGGCUUUUGCGUCUGGCUGGGCCAGUGAUUUUAGGGUUGGCCUUUGCGUCUGGCUGGGCUAGUGAUUUUAGGGAUGGCCUUUGCGUCUGGCUGGGCUAGUGUCUUUAGGGAUGGCCUUUGCGUCUGGCUGGGCUAGUGAAUUUAGGGUUAGCCUUUGCGUCUGGCUGGGCUAGUGAUUUUAGGGAUGGCCUUUGCGUCUGGCUGGGCUAGUGAUUUUAGGGAUGGCCUUUGCGUCUGGCUGGGCUAGUUGAUUUUAGGGAUGGCCUUUGCGUCUGGCUGGGCUAGUGUUUUUAGGGAUGGCCUUUGCGUCUGCUGGGCUAGUGAUUUUAGGGAUGGCCUUUGCGUCUGGCUGGGCUAGUGUUUUUAGGGAUGGCCUUUGCGUCUGGCUGGGCUAGUGUUUUUAGGGAUGGCCUUUGCGUCUGCUGGGCUAGUGUUUUUAGGGAUGGCCUUUGCGUCUGGCUGGGCUAGUGAUUUUAGGGAUGGCCUUUGCGUCUGGCUGGGCUAGUGAUUUUAGGGAUGGCCUUUGCGUCUGGCUGGGCUAGUGAUUUUAGGGUUAGCCUUUGCGUCUGCUGGGCUAGUGAUUUUAGGGUUAGCCUUUGCGU